AACAAGUACUUUCUCUCUCCUCGCGAGUUACCCUCAGCUCUUCUCUCUCCUCCAUGUUUUCUCUCCUUCGUGAUUCUCUCUCCUCUCCGUCACCACCACUGCUGCAACCACCGCGCCGCCACUAUCUCUCACGCUGCCAUCUUCCACGUGUCGUCAAUUUGUGAGAUUUCUUUUAUUUUUAUUUUCUCCUCUCCUGCGAUUCAGUGAGCCAUCUUUCAUCCCCUAAUUUUGGAGAUCUAUUGCCCAGUUGCUUUGAUUGAUCUUCGAUUUUCCAGUACUAGGCACGAGCACAUGACAAUUCUAUACAUAAUGCAUGGAGCUAGAGACAUGAUUGAAUUUGAAACUCUGCAGAUAGUGCGUUAAAGGAUGUAACAUGCCUUUGAAACUUCCUCGAUGAUAAGGUACUUUUUUUUCUUUUUGAAAGCAACCUGAAGGUUUCUUAUGAUUAUAUUGACACUGAACACAGAAUACGUAACUAGCAUAGCUUAAAGACCCUAUCACCUGAUGCUACAGGGUUUGAGUUUUUUUUGUGGAGACCCAAUCUUCUGAAACAAAUGCAGAUAGUUUUCAUCAAUACCUUAUGUGGUUGGCAGUAAGACAUCUUUGACUGUAGUUUGCAGAAGGGAUUAUAUCUGGGUCGAUAUCUCUACACCUGAUCUACAUUAGGUGAAUGGGGUUGUCAGGGUUAUGCAUCACACUGAGUAAAAACCCCAGAGGUAAAUUCCAGCUAAAUCUACAUUAGCAGCUAUUCCCUUUGUCAACUAACAGCAUGUACAUUCGUUCAUGGCUCUCCAAAGUGUGCUCCUCUCUCUCUCCUACACGAUACCGCCAAGAUAUCUUCCAAAAAUUGUUGCUGAUUUUAUUUCAUCAAUUAGUAUCAAUCAAACACUAGUUGAUUGCCAAUUAAUUUCCUUCUUGGUCAGUCUUCUUGUUUAUAUUAGUCAGCCUUCCUGUCUAUCCCUCAGUUCAAAAAGGAAUGACAGGCUUCAGGGUUGCUGUUCAGUAGAUCAGUCCAAUAAUAAGGUAAGUCUGAAAUCCGUUUGCUACCAGUCUGUUGCUACAUUCCUAUUAUCCUCUGGUGUUGUUAUACGUAGGUACUGCAACUACUGAAUCAUUUUCUCCUACCUGCAUCUAUUGGAGAAGCAAGUUUCCAGGGUUGCUCAGGUCUACCGUGCUGCUGUUUUUGUCAACUUGGACUAGCGUUGACUUCUGGCCUUGUUGCUUCUUAUGCUGUUGAUGUUGGUAUGUUAUUGUUUUCAGAUUUGCACUAAUCUAGCUAGGUGGUGAGCGACCAUAUUACCAUCUCUUUUGACAUGAGACCAAAUAAUGCAAUCAAGCUUAGAGCUAAGGGCUAGAACAUCAUCAAGUAUACCAUCUAAAUCAUAAAAGAAAGUUUAAGCCUUCGUUAUUCUUGAAACGAGCACCUGACAAUCAGUUUUCAAGAUCACUUUGUUGUAGCCAUACCUUCGAGCCAGUUGGAUUGCAAAGAGGAUGGCCUUGCAUUCUGCAAUAACUGGAGGCCAGCGCCCUUGAAACCUUUGACAUCCCCAAACAGGACCUCGCCACUUGAGUCUCUCCCCACUACUCCAACCCCAAUCAACAACUAAAGAAGCAUCUAAACUUAACAAAACUUGAGGGAGGAGCCUGCCAUUUGUUUGAGCUUUUGCAACAGUGUGGACCUCUUGACAUUGCACCAUAAUUUUGGUUUGAUGUUUGUCAAAAUCACCUGACUGUCUCAAACUGCCAGCAUAUUGCAGCAUCAAAUGGAAGUGAAAAAUGUGUGCGUCUCCUGCUAGACUAUGGUGCUGAUCCAAAUUGUAGAGAUCAAGAAGGGAGCAUAACAUUAUGGGAUGCAAUGCAGGGUGGUCAUGGGGCGGUGGUGAAACAUCUAAAAAACUACGGUGCUAACAUUCGUGCAUGCGAUAUAGGUCUGUAUGCUUGUAUAGAACCCCGACCUCCUCAAACUAGUUGUCCGCGAGGGUGGCGAUGUAAUUCUCGCAGCAGCUACUGUUGUUUCAAUGUUCAACGGUAGCACAACCUUGCACGUGGCAGUUAGCGAAGGGAACUCCACGUGCUUUCCUCAAGAAUCGGUUUAUUUAGUGCAUAUAAAAAUUAAAACCUUUGUAGUUACAUACAAAAAAUGAAACAACUGAGCAAAUUUUAAAGUUCGGGUUUGUUAAUAUUGCU